rnacentral:tRNA from 1 species
UGGUGUGGCUCAGUCGGUAGAGCAGCUGAUUCGUAAUCAGCAGGUCGCGGGUUCGAGUCCCGCCACC